UACGGGGGGGAGCAAGCGUUGUUCGGAUUUACUGGGCGUAAAGGGCGCGUAGGCGGCGCAACAAGUCACUUGUGAAAUCUCCGGGCUUAACCCGGAGCGGUCAAGUGAUACUGUCGUGCUAGAGUGCGGAAGGGGCUACUGGAAUUCUCGGUGUAGCGGUGAAAUGCGUAGAUAUCGAGAGGAACACCUGCGGCGAAGGCGGGUAGCUGGGCCGACACUGACGCUGAAGCGCCGAAAGCCAGGGGAGCGAACGGG
rnacentral:rRNA from 1 species